GCUUUCAGCACCUUUUGUUCUAGUCUCAUCUUCAAGAGUCAAUUACAUUCUUUACUUAUAUGCUCUUAUCUCGAUACUUAGCAAUCUGAAUGACUCAACUACCAUCUGCAGCUUACGAGAGUUCGGGUGCAGAUAGCCCAUGUAGCGGUCAAGUAUCAGGUCAAGGAACAGUGCAAAAGUUAGCAGGAAGGUUUCGAACUGGGAGUUACAGAUGAAAGUAUUGUUUCAUAAACAGGAUCAGUAUCAAAAGUAGAAGCCAUAUAUGGUGAAGGAAGCAGGAGAAUCUUCCGUUUUAGUUUCAUCUGCAAUUACUAGCUUUGCUGCUAGAUCACGAUCAAUUCCAGGGUUUUCCUUGACUCUAAGUAAGAAACAAGUUAAGUAGAUGAUUGUCGUGCUAAUGCUUACUUCGUUGGUGGGGUAAAGCGCUGAGCUCCUGUUGAUGUUGAGUUUAAAGAACUUUACUUGAAGGUCAUCAUCUAUUCCUUCUUCUGAAGCUAAUGCGGUCAAGUGGAAAGUCAGGGCUAAGUUCAGUUCAUGAGUUGGCGACGAAAGAGAGAGAAUCAGUGAAGCGAGAGGAACAAGCUAAUAAGUAAGCUUUGUUAGGAGUUUCGGACUUUAUUACAUUCCUAUGAGAUAUGCGAGUUAUAGAGAGAUUAAGCAACUUGUAGCGGGGCAGUAAGCCUUUUUGACGAGCAAGGGUGCAUUAAGUUAAGUACUGGAUACUCGUUUUGAAGAGCAAGGGUAAGUACCUGAUACUCCGUCUUGUGCCAGAAGUUGUCCUGUCCCGGAUAGUUUGAACAAGUAAUAUGUUAGGCAAAAGUGUCGUGGAACAGCCGAUAAGGAAGGGUGUUUUCGAUUUGCAACAAUGGAAGUUGACCCUGAGCAGCCAUAGGUAAGAGGGAGCUAAGUCAAGAAUUCCUUGUUUCAAGGAGAGUUCGAGUGCUCUAGCCCUUUAGUAAUUGGUGAGCAACUGCAGGACUAGCUCCAAUAGAAAAGUUAGGUUGAGAUAAAGGAUCAUACGCUGUAGUAGUAGCUGGAUAAGAGGUCAGUCAUAUAGGGAGAAAGUCAAGGAUUUGCAGCGGCAAGGAAUGUAGAGGGAGGGGAAAGAGUAGGCGUGCUCUUAAACAUGAACCUUUCAUACACUCAAAAAUACAUUAAUUGAACGGGCAAGAAAAGUAGGAGAAUUGACUAUCUUGUCCACUGGAAGCUCCUAGAGUUGCAUUUGAGCCUAACAUCUUGAAACUCGCUGCUACGCUAGGAACUUACUACAUCCUACAUCCUUUAACUUCAUAACCACGAUUCACUCCUAUUACUAGAAUUAGUGAGAAUUUCUUACCUUAACUAAGCACUCAGCUAUUUCAUUACAACUCCUUUAACUACGGACUACUACACUAGUAGUGACUGGGAAGAGUGCGAUAAAGAACAUAGUAUAAACUGGAGGAGUGAGUGUAGCAGUAGUAUUAGAGUAGAGGUGCAAGCAGAGGAGUGAAAGAGAAGACUAGUAGGAGCAUAGGGAAAAUACAAUUCCAAGCUAAAGAAAGGCCCACGAGUAAAGCUGUUAAAGAGGCAGUAAAGUCUCUAGUUCUAGUAUGCACAAUCAAAUACCAGUGUUGAGUCAGGAUCAGUUGAAACAGUAGUUGUUAGUUGCCCUUAUAUUAAGUCGGUAUAGGAAUUCUCCGUAUCAGUAUGAACCCUUACUCUUGAUACUUGACCGACCUAGUAGGAGUAUAGUCCUGCGAUUCCCCGCUUAUAGUAGAAGAGACUAACUUGUUUCAUUCUUAUUAUUAGUGGUUUCGUUCUUACUGUUGGUUGGCCGUUCCUUGGCUCAUAGCAAUUCUUUACUUAAGUACUUCUAGCUUAGCUUCCUGGCCGAUACCUCUUGCUGGCAGGAACACUCAUUCAUAAAUGCAUUCUGACUUGCUUGUUUCUUAGUUUGAUUACUUACUUCUUCUUUACUUAGCGCUUGCAGCCCUUGACCGAGAUAGAGAUACAACACCCGGCACAGCUUCUGAAACUAGAUCUUAGAAAAUAGGGUGUCAAGGCCUUAAACGAUGAGAAAUAAGGGAGUCAUCACCCAAACUAUACUUGAAGUUCAGAAUUCCAUUUCAUAUAUCUCUCUUAUUGAGCACAUGGGAUAGAAACUCGUAAAUAGAAAGCAUCUUCUGUUGUCGAUGAAACAAGAACUACACUUGAAACAAAGAACUCUACUCUCCUACUGGCUUUGAAACGAGGUGUAACAAAAGAAGUCCGGGUAUCUAGAAUUGGCAGUGCUAGGAAAGGAGGGAUAGUACAGGUGUUGCAAUACAAGAUCAGAGGGAUAUGGGCAAGAGAAGAGUUUACUUACCGCAACUCAGGUAUUGUAUAUAUUGUAUAUUAGUAAUCUAGUUGCCAGGGGUCGAUAACACCUCUGCCUGCUACUGAAGGAAUAGUUUGUUGUGCAAUGAAAGCUGGGUUACGGGCUUACUAAGGGCAGAAGUAUUGACUCGCUUGUUUUUGUUCCAUAUUCUUUUGUUACCCGUCAUGUAUGUUAGGGCCUGGCCUAUUUGACAGCUUUCCCUUGUAGUGGUCCAGUCCAAGUACCAACCCACCUAGACGUUACGCGAGACUUACUCGUAUUCUUUAUCACCGUGCUUCAAAGCAAGAUCAGUAGAUGAAUGAGUUCUAGGUAAAGUAGAAAGUGUAGUUCCAGUGGGCAAGCAGUGAGUUUAAGGGGCCCACCUCUCCUCUCAAGUAAGAGUGACACAAAUAAGUACAAGAGCCAAGCAACUAGGCAAAAGGUCAUCUCCCCUAUGGAUCUCUCGACUCUAACCUCUCUCUCUAUCUACGACUUGGAUUUUCUCUCCAGGAGCAUAACCCCACCUUAAAGAACCGAUCGUCGCCAACUAACAUGGAUUAGAAACAAGAAACUUCUACACUCGCUUCAGCAGUUUCUAAUUCUUUAUCAAAUUAUUAAUACGAUGACUUUCGCACCCGAACUCUAUAAGCUAGCUCGGUGAAGCAGUAACCCUUUAACACAGGACUCGUUUAUAACUUCUAUUAACCCUUUAACACAGGACUCGUUUAUAACUUCUAUUAACCCUUUAACAUAAGUAAUACCUCUGUACGCACUGUAAACCAUGAUUUAGAGUCGACAACAAGCACAGAUGACUUUCGAUCAGGCCAGGCAAUUCGACAAACGGUAUAAUGUAUUUAUGACUUUGUUCUCUGCUCUUUCAUCAUCCUCUGAUUCAUCUCCUUAUUCUAAUCCGUUUUCUUUACCUGCAGCAACACCUGUGAUUGAUAGGUUUGUUUAGGCUUGAACAACAUCUUGAGAGUCC
rnacentral:lncRNA from 1 species